ACGCAGCCGAGAGCAAGCUCGCCAGUACAAAUUGAAGAGGCGAGCUUGAGAGCAGCAGGCAGGCACAAAUAAUAGAGAGCAGCAGCACACAAGGGAAGAAAAAUAUAUGAUGAAGAAGGCGCCUCCCUCGUUGCUGGUUCUGCGCUUGGCGAUCUUGGCCGCGGUGCUCAUCACCAUUCUCGUCAUGCAUGUUGAGCCUGCGCAAGCAGGGUCGAGGCAGCCGACGAGCACACCUCCGUCUCCAAUACCACACACACACAUUUCGCAUUGCUGCAAAUAAACAUAAACAUAGCUGGUGAAACACAGGCACAGACCGGCAGUACAAUUAGGGUUAGUUAAUUCUCUAUAUAUAUGCCACUAGAAAAACUUGAUCUUCCUUAUAUAUGUGUGUGCUAUUAUCCAAAAUCUUCAGGUGCCACUGGAUCAAACUUCGAUCCCUGCUUAUGUGCCAUUUUCUGUUGUAAUAGAGAUGCUUAUCCAUGAAAUAAUCAAUCGAGAGCUCAGUUAUGGUUCUGGUUUUCUCA